GGUAUAUGUCUCACUCUGCUGGUAUUGAUGGAUGGUAUAGGUCUCACUCUGCUGGUAUUGAUGGAUGGUAUAGGUCUCACUCUGCUGGUAUUGAUGGAUGGUAUAGGUCUCACUCUGCUGGUAUUGAUGGCUGGUAAAGGUCUCACUCUGCUGGUAUUGAUGGAUGGUAUAGGUCUCACUCUGCUGGUAUUGAUGGAUGGUAUAGGUCUAGGUCACACUCUUCUGGUAUUGAUGGAUGGUAUAGGUCUCACACUCUGCUGGUAUUGAUGGAUGGUAUAGGUCUCACACUCUUCUGGUAUUGAUGGAUGGUAUAGGUCUCACACUCUGCUGGUAUUGAUAGAUGCUUAUGUACUGAAGUAUGAGAUAGAGA
rnacentral:lncRNA from 1 species